rnacentral:lncRNA from 1 species
CCAAGAUUUAACUAUUGGAGUUGGUGGUGUAGUUGGAGCAACAGGAGUUGGUGGUUUCACAAUUGGUGGUGAUUGAUAAGGUGGUGAUUUCACUAGAGGUGGAGGGGUUGGUGGUUUCACAAUAGGUGGUGAUUGAUACGGUGGUGUUUUCACUAGAGGAGGAGAAGGUGGCUUCACAAUAGGUGGUGAUUGAUAUGGUGGUGGAGUUUUCACUAGAGGUGGAGAAGGUGGCUUCACAAUAGGUGGUGAUUGAUAAGGUGGAGUUUUAACUAGGGGUGGAGAAGGUUGCUUCACAAUAGGUGGUGAUUGAUAUGGUGGUGUUUUCACCAAUGGAGGAGAAGUAGGUGCCUUCACCAGCGAUGGAGGAGUUGGCGGUGCCUUUACCGGAAAAGGAGGUG